ACUGAAUGCACUGAGGUCACUGUGCUCUGAAUUCCCAGCUGUCACCAAGGAGGUCAGUAUCGGAGGCUGUUGAGUAGGAAGAAGACAAAGUUCCUUGAACAAGCUCAGGGCAGCUAGAUGGUGGCAGCUUUUGUUCUCCGGGUUGGUCUGCUGGCUGCUGGCUCCUCUGGCCAUGGGCCAGGUGCCCCCUUAGCAGGUGACAUUUUAAGAGAUCUGGCACCAGCGGCGAGUGUGGGUGAAGUUGACAUUUACUAAGACUCUUUCCCACCACAAAAAUGAAGUUCCAGCCAUCAGGGAGGGAACUGAGGGCCGCAGACAUGAUCAUUUUACUGGCCAGGGCAUCUUUUGUUGCCAUCAAAAAACAGCCAUCCACCUUCUGACUUUGCUUCCAGCAGCCUGGGUCUCUCAUUGAACAGUGUUUUCUGGGAUGUUUUUUUCGGGGGAACCAGAAACAGGUUCCUUGACCCCUGACUUGACCAGUCAGAGGCAAAGAAAACAAAGAAGCCAACAUCCUCACCCCCUCACUCAGUAGCUUCUGAGCUUUUGUGAGAUUACAGAACCAUCUCCUGUUUGUUGUUGGUAUUCAGUUGCCACGGUGUGUCUGACUCUUUGCAACCCCAUGGGCUGAAGCAUGCCAAGAUUCCCUGUCUUUUAUUAUCUCCUGUUUGGUCCUUUCUAACUCCGUAAAGAAGGCUGAGUGCUGAAGAACUGAUGCUUUUGAACUGUGGUGCUGGAGAAGACUCUUGAGAGUCCCUUGGACUGCAAGGAGAUCAAAUAAGUCAAUUCUGAAGGAAAUCAACUCUGAAGAUUCAUCGGAGGGACUAUUGCUGCAGCUGAAGCUCGAAUACUUUGGCCACCUGAUGUGAAGAGCUGACUCACUGGAAAAGACCUUGAUGCUGGGAAAGAUCGAAGGCAAAAGGAAAAGCAAGUGGAAGAGGAUGAGAUGGCUGGAUAGCAUCACUAACUCAAUGGACAUGAAUUUGAGCAAACUCCAGGAGAUAGUGGAGGACAGAGGAGCCUGCCUUUGCAAUUCAAAGAAGUCAAGGAACCAGGAACUGGCUGUGCUGGACUCAGAGAGGAUCCAUUAUGUAGAUUAGGACAUAGAGAACCCAGAGCAGGAAAGGGCUUGAUUCCAAGUCACCAAGAUUAUCAGUGGCAGAGUCGGAGUCAGAGGCAAGGUGACCACAUCUCUCAGCUUGCUGCCUUCCUUCCAGAAACUCCACCAGAGACUUCCCCUUCUCUCUCUGUUGGCCUUCCUAUGGAUGUGGACAGAUGACCCAGGCUGGCCAGCAAGCAUUCUCUGUCUCCUGAGCAAGAAAGAAAGCCGCAGUGCAAUGAACAGAAGACAAUGGACCCAAUGACCCGGGCUACCAGACGCCAGCCUAUGACUGUGUUCAAAACAAUGCAAGAAGGAGAAGAAUACACGAUGCUUACGACUUCGUCCCUUAUCACCCGCCUCUGAUUGUGCGCCCUCCUCUUUUUCAAAAAGACAGACGGCAGGAGGAGUGCCUUGAAAUAGACUCCUGUAAGAGAGAGACCUGAGGCAGAAAUGUCUUACCUUCCUGCUAAAUCCUCCUCUGCUCAUACUCACCAAUGUCAUUUCACAGAAGAGAGUCAGGAAACAUCUCACGUGAGGAAGAUGCACUCUGCAUGUCAAUAUGGUUCAAAGCCCAAGAAGAACCUGGAAGAUAAGGACAUUCGUGAAAGAAAAAAAAAGAAAAUGUGCUAGGAAGAAAUGUACUCCUACUGUUUCACUCUGCAUUUGAAAGAAUUUAUGCACCGCAAAAGAAUGCCUGUGAAAAAACUCACGAAAUCAAUAGACAACUUCACAGUUACAUGCUUAUCACCACGUUCCACUCCACACUAUUUCACAUAUGGAAUCCUAGUGUUGGCACCUCUCUGACAGGUGGAAAGUUGUUCACCAAGAAAAGCAUAAAGUGAGGAGAAAUGACUGGCCCAGGCUGCCAGGUUCACUCUUCCGUAAUGAAACAGGCAAGUAUAGCCUUGUAUUGUCUGAUGGUGUCCAUCACUUUUCAAGCAAAGGAAACAGACUAUUAUUCUAAAGGCUUCGUUCAGUGUGAAUGACCCUUUUCUUCCUUCCCUGAAUCCUAUACCUAAGGUAGUCUUAUUCUAU
ensembl:lncRNA